CCAGAAGUAUUAUCUGGUAAACCUGGGGCAGAGGCAGAGUCUUCUUCCUCAUUGCUCUCUCUUCCAUCACUCUGACCCCAAUACAGCUAUGGAAGCUCAUCAGUCACCCACCCCACAUCAUAGUCACAGGUCCCUUUCACCCUCAGAUAACCCCUCUUUCGGCAAAACAAUCACUGCUUCUCUGCAACUCCAUCACUAUGCCAACAAUGGUAACCCUGCACCUCAAUCCUCUUUUCUUUCUCGGAAUCAUCCUCUUUGCCUUUAUGGUUCUGUUGAACUGCGCGGUCCCAACAGCAAUGAUGAUGAUGGAAAGGUCCUCAAAGAGUCAAGCUUUAUCUUUGGAAGCUUGGUAAUGAUAUUCUUCUUACCAAUGAAAAAAGGUAUCACAGGCAGGCAUAUCUAGAUGCUUGGGUGUGGUGUGAGUGAGAGUUCCAGCCAUAUGUUUCAUGGCUGUCCCUUUUCUUGUCAAGUUUGGGGUUAUUUUCUUCCUUGUGGUAAUGGAAAGGGAUAGGUGGCUGCUUGUUAAUCUUGGUGAUUCUAAUAACUAUGCUCUUAAUGCUCCUUGGUGCUUGGUUUUUGGAAUUGUUUUGGAGCUUAUUUCGAGAAAUGAAUUAUUUUUUGAGAAUAUAGGGAAUUCAGUUGCUGUAGUUGUCAAUAGAGUGCAUCAUGUUUUAUUGGAUCUGGAUUUAUAUAGCCUCUGGUGGGUUUAGUGCUUUAUAUCCUGCUUCUAGACUAAGGAAGGAGGUUCUUGUGAGGUGGUUCCCGCCCAUGGAUACUUGGGUCAAAAUCAAUACUGAUGGCUCAUUUCUUGCUCAGAGCAAAAUUGGGGCGUGUUAUUAGAGAUCAUAAUGAGCUGUUUGUGGUGGGUUUUUCUGCUCCAUUCAUGGCCUGAGACUUGGUUUAUCCAGAGGUUAUUCUAAGAUCUUUAUUGAGUCUGAUUCUGAAUUGGCAGUGGGGUUUCUUGACAAGGGAUGUCCUGCUCAUCAUACUGUUGCUCUUUUGGUUCGUUAAAUCAUGAACCUUGUUAAUUAGUUUGAUCAGUGCUGUUGGAAGCAUGUGUAUAAAGAGGCUAAUUCAGUGGCGGAUUCCUUUGCUAAGCAUGGGUUAUCCUUGGCUGGGGAUAUUGUUAUUCUUUAUUCUCUCCCUGCUUUUAGAAUUGAUUCUUGUAACUCUGUGUAUGAGAGUGUGGUUGGGUUUCAGCCCCGUCUUUAAUAAAAAAACAAAGAUGGACCCAGUUCGAUGAAUGAACGGAGUUAGGGUUUCUCAUCUACUUAUUUUGCUUCUGAUUUAGAGAUCAGUUAGUUUGAUAUUGCUUUGCUUGAUGAAUGAACGAGGUAAUGUGCACAUCUCCAUACAUCUUCCUGCAUAUGCUUGCAAUCGGAGUCUGUGGUUAUGCAUAUGCUCACACAAUUAAGUGUAAUUGAAAGUGGACUGGGCGGGACAUAAAGAAGAUUAUGUCCCGCCCAAAAUGAACAAUAAACCAUUGAAGAUAGCCAUGGCGGGAAGUGCAACACAACGAGCUUCAUUGCCCUCCCUUAGAUGAUGGACCCACAAGCCAGCUGGAAGAUUCCUUUGGAUUUGUCUUAUAUGUACAGGGAUUUGGGCCCUGAUUGUCAGGCCCAAAUAUAGGAAAAGUCCAUAUCAUGACCACCCCCUCUAUAAAAGGGGAGGUCAUCCACUUGUACGAAACCAACUUUUUCAGCAUUAAUGAGAAUAUUCCUUUUAUGGUA